CUGCUGCUAAGGUUUCCACCCUAGAUGCAAGAAAAAGAAGUCUUUGCAAUUUCUGUCUGUCUGGUUGUGGCAGCCAAGAUUGAAUGGGGGAAUAUAGGA
rnacentral:snoRNA from 1 species